rfam:Haemonchus contortus, ISE/inbred ISE, WGS project CAVP01000000 data, contig: Hcontortus_35066
GGCCCAAAUGUGAAGUUGAUCAGAUUAGAAGGAUCAUCUGACUCUACUAAACUGCUCUACUUUGAGUUUGUGCCC